CCUACGGGAGGCAGCAGUGAGGAAUAUUGGUCAAUGGACGAGAGUCUGAACCAGCCAAGUCGCGUGAAGGAUGACUGCCCUAUGGGUUGUAAACUUCUUUUAUAAGGGAAUAAAACGAGGCACGUGUGCCUUUUUGCAUGUACUUUAUGAAUAAGGAUCGGCUAACUCCGUGCCAGCAGCCGCGGGAAUACGGAGGAUACGAGCGUUAUCCGGAUUUAUUGGGUAUAAAGGGAGCGUAGAUGGGUUGAUAAGUCAGUUGUGAAAGUUCGCGGCUCAACCGUAAAAUUGCAAUUGAUACUGGCAGUCUGGAGUACAGUAGAGGUAAGUGGAAUUCGUGGUGUAGCGGUGAAAUGCUUAGAUAUCACGAAGAACCCCGAUUGCGAAGGCAGCUUACUAAACUGUGACUGACAUUGAUGCUCGAAAGUGUGGGUAUCAAACAGGAUUAGAUACCCUUGUAGUC
rnacentral:rRNA from 1 species